rnacentral:lncRNA from 1 species
GAUGAACCAUAUUUUAAGGCUGUCCAAUAUAUUUCAGUGGCAUGGAUAGUUAAUAAGUCUAGUUAACAAAGAGCUUUUAAUAAAGGAGGCUGAGGACACCUGACAGGCUGCCACGUCAGGAGGUUCUUCUGUAAAUAACUUACAUUGUGAAGGUUACUCUUAUCCCAAUGUUCCCCGAUUAAUAUAUAAGGGAUUUAAAAAAACAAUUGUGUAUAUGUGUGUUUUAUUAUAUAUGUAAUUUAUAAUGAAAGAUUAUGUGUAUUUGGGAAGUUUUAUCAUUACGACGUAGUUUUGUUAGAGCAUCUCCAAUGGUGAUUCAUUUUUUAAUUUUUGUUUAAUUUUUUGCUCCAUUGAUGCUUCAUUUUUUUUUUCAUUUCUUCAUUUUUUGAAGAAUUGAACAGAAUUUAAAUACUAUUCACUUCUUCAUUUUUUGAAGAUACACUUUUUUUAAUUACGGAUUGGUCCCUCUUGUUCUUAGUUUUUACUUAAAUAAACUAUAAGAGCUAAUAUUAUCCAUUUAAAAUAUUAAAUAUACUAGAAACAUGUUUUUUUACUAAUAUUUAGAUGAAACAUAAAUAAUAUAAAAACUGAAAGACUUGAACAACAUCAAUCUAAAUAUUCCAGUUCUAGAGGUUGAUAUCGAAGAGCAUGAUAAUAUUCGUUUUCAAGAUUUUUUGGCUCGAUUUAGAAGAAUUAAAUAUCAAUAAGCA